AACGAACGCUGGCGGCAUGCCUAACACAUGCAAGUCGAACGAGACCUUCGGGUCUAGUGGCGCACGGGUGCGUAACGCGUGGGAACCUGCCCUUAGGUUCGGAAUAACUCCCCGAAAGGGGUGCUAAUACCGGAUAAUGUCUUCGGACCAAAGAUUUAUCGCCUUUGGAUGGGCCCGCGUUGGAUUAGCUAGUUGGUAGGGUAAAAGCCUACCAAGGCGACGAUCCAUAGCUGGUCUGAGAGGAUGAUCAGCCACACUGGGACUGAGACACGGCCCAGACUCCUACGGGAGGCAGCAGUGGGGAAUAUUGGACAAUGGGCGAAAGCCUGAUCCUGCAAUGCCGCGUGAGUGAUGAAGGCCUUAGGGUUGUAAAGCUCUUUUACCCGGGAUGAUAAUGACAGUACCGGGAGAAUAAGCUCCGGCUAACUCCGU
rnacentral:rRNA from 1 species